AAACCAAGUGUCUGAAAAGAAGUGCCUUCCUUUCUCUCUACCUUCCCCAGCUUGAUCGCCCACGUUGAAAAAUAUACGAUCGUAUUGUUUAUUAUAAUACGUUGGUCCGUUUGAAAUUCGCUCUUAACUAAACGCAGUUACAUGAUUCUGGACUCGACGGUGAAUAAUCGGGUUACAGUUAAUUCCCGUUGUGGCGCUAUGUGCAUUAAACUUACGUUCACGUGAUAGCGUAACACCUCCCUUCUUAUACAAAAAGGUGUUUUGAUAAAACAGCUUUUAGGUAAACGCCGAUAUUCAUAUUCAUUAUCCUGUGGUCGGUCGGUGUCCGUUACAAUAUUUACGCGUACAAUAUUCUCAUGCUUAUCAUGCCUCCAUGUUUUCGAGAUUACUUACUACUCGCAGAAAAAAUAGUUAAUAUUUCCCGGUACAGACGCUUAUCGAAAUAUAAAGUUAAUAAUAGUCAGUGAGGUGAUUCGCAAUAACUAUACAUCAUUGACAACUACAAGCAGAGGUACAUAAGGUUAGAGGGACCUAGCCAAUUACAGUCGAAUUUGGAGGUUUUGGGCUCCUUAAGCAGAUUCUGUGCCGCAGUCGUCUGAGUGGUGGUGAUUUUUUCAAAGAGUUCAUCAAGGUGUUGUGCAAAGGUUCUAGGUGCUAUGCUCGUGGAGAAUGUUGAAGGUAUAUUGGCCUUUUCGCCAAAAAUUAAUUCAUGGGGCGUAAAACCCGUGGCCUCAUGCACAGAAGUGUUAUAUGAGAAAAUGCAAAAUCUUAUCCAAUCGUCCCAAUCGGUUUUAGUGCAAUAGUGUUUUAGGUAAUUGAUGAAAACGCGGUGAGCUCUUUCGAGGGAGCCCAAAGACUGUGGGUGGAAAGCGGUAGAAGUUAUUCUUUGAAUUUUG